rnacentral:rRNA from 1 species
UGAGCUGGGGGUGGCCGCAGAGACCAGCGAGAAGCGACUGUUUACUAAAAACACAGGUCCGUGCGAAGCCGUAAGGCGAUGUAUACGGACUGACGCCUGCCCGGUGCUGGAACGUUAAGGGGACCGGUUAGCUGCCUUUCGGGGUGGCGAAGCUGAGAACUUAAGCGCCAGUAAACGGCGGUGGUAACUAUAACCAUCCUAAGGUAGCGAAAUUCCUUGUCGGGUAAGUUCCGACCUGCACGAAUGGCGUAACGACUUCUCGACUGUCUCAACCAUAGGCCCGGUGAAAUUGCACUACGAGUAAAGAUGCUCGUUUCGCGCAGCAGGACGGAAAGACCCCGGGACCUUUACUAUAGUUUGAUAUUGGUGUUCGGUUCGGCUUGUGUAGGAUAGGUGGGAGACUGUGAAGCGGCCACGCCAGUGGUUGUGGAGUCGUCGUUGAAAUACCACUCUGGUCGUGCUGGAUGUCUAACCUGGGUCCGUGAUCCGGAUCAGGGACAGUGUCUGAUGGGUAGUUUAACUGGGGCGGUUGCCUCCUAAAGAGUAACGGAGGCGCCCAAAGGUUCCCUCAGCCUGGUUGGCAAUCAGGUGUUGAGUGUAAGUGCACAAGGGAGCUUGACUGUGAGACCGACGGGUCGAGCAGGGACGAAAGUCGGGACUAGUGAUCCGGCAGUGGCUUGUGGAAGCGCUGUCGCUCAACGGAUAAAAGGUACCCCGGGGAUAACAGGCUGAUCUUCCCCAAGAGUCCAUAUCGACGGGAUGGUUUGGCACCUCGAUGUCGGCUCGUCGCAUCCUGGGGCUGGAGUCGGUCCCAAGGGUUGGGCUGUUCGCCCAUUAAAGCGGUACGCGAGCUGGGUUUAGAACGUCGUGAGACAGUUCGGUCCCUAUCCGCUGCGCGCGUAGGAAUAUUGAGAAGGGCUGUCCCUAGUACGAGAGGACCGGGACGGACGAACCUCUGGUGUGCCAGUUGUUCUGCCAAGGGCAUGGCUGGUUGGCUACGUUCGGAAAGGAUAACCGCUGAAAGCAUCUAAGCGGGAAGCCUGCUUCGAGAUGAGUAUUCCCACCCCCUUUGAGGGGUUAAGGCUCCCAGUAGACGACUGGGUUGAUAGGCCAGAUGUGGAAGCCCGGUAACGGGUGGAGCUGACUGGUACUAAUAGGCCGAGGGCUUGUCCUCAGUUG